AGUGAACGCUGGCGGUAGGCCUAACACAUGCAAGUCGAACGGCAGCACAGUAAGAGCUUGCUCUUACGGGUGGCGAGUGGCGGACGGGUGAGGAAUACAUCGGAAUCUACUUUUUCGUGGGGGAUAACGUAGGGAAACUUACGCGAAUACCGCAUACGACCUACGGGUGAAAGCAGGGGAUCUUCGGACCUUGCGCGAUUGAAUGAGCCGAUGUCGGAUUAGCUAGUUGGCGGGGUAAAGGCCCACCAAGGCGACGAUCCGUAGCUGGUCUGAGAGGAUGAUCAGCCACACUGGAACUGAGACACGUUCCAGACUCCGACGGGAGGCAGCAGUGGGGAAUAUUGGACAAUGGGCGCAAGCCUGAUCCAGCCAUACCGCGUGGGUGAAGAAGGCCUUCGGGUUGUAAAGCCCUUUUGUUGGGAAAGAAAAGCAGCAGGUUAAUACCCCGCUGUUCUGACGGUACCCAAAGAAUAAGCACCGGCUAACUUCGUG
rnacentral:rRNA from 1 species